UAGUUUGAUCAAUAAUGCUUCGCAGAUUGUUACUAAAUAUAGACUGAGGCUGGUCAUCAAUUUACUUAUGUUUUAAGACAUGGUCCGUUCAAAAAGUUCUAUUUAUAGUGUACGGACUUGGUUGAACAAAACAUGCUGUUGUAGGUGCAUAUGUAGUAAAGACAGGGAGGUUGCUUCGUCAAAAGAAUCUGCUUUGACAGGGGAGAUUGACGAUUUAAAGAUUUUUAUCCAUAUUUCAUACCCAGUAAAUAUAUAUAAGCAUAUCUUCCAUGAAGAAGAUGCUGAAUGCAAACAAAAAGUAGACAAACUCGGUGAAAACAGAAAGUGGGAUGAGCUCGUUUCUUACCUUAAAACAGCUGGAGGUAUUAACUCCAGCAGAUCCCCCAUUAAAGAUGAACCAAAUUCACAAGCAUCUUUGUACACACCUCUUCAUCAUGCUGCUGCCGGGAAAGCCCCAAAGCAUGUCUUUGAAGAUCUUCUGAAAAUGGGUGCAUCCAAAUGCUUGAAAACAUCAAAAGGAGAAACUGCAUUUGACAUAGCAUUGACAAAUUCUCUGGAUGAAGAUAUAUUAAGACUAAUUGAGGUAUCAGAAAGUGUAAAACAGAAUGGAGAAUAUAUAGCUAUAAUGGAAAAAUCCCUACACACUAUUAUAUUGGAUAGAGUGGAACGUCUAAUCAAAAAUAAUGGUCAACAACUCCCACAGCUUGUUUUUCUAUAUGAGAAAGGUCCGUUUCAUUAUUCAGUUCCAAUGAUGUAUGGCGGAUUUAACGUAAAGAAAUAUAAUGAUGGCAUAAAAGUUCAUAGUUUCUGUCGUGUAGUGGGUGGUUAUGCGAAGGACCAUUUAAUUGAAAGAAAUGGAAACAUAACUCUAGUAGCUACUGGCUACCCUUUUUAAAACUUCAGAUGUAUAGACAUUAGCUAACGUGAACAGUGUUAAUAAAUAUACCCCUAUACCCU